CACGUAGGCGGAUCGGUAAGUCAGAUGUGAAAUCCCGGAGCUCAACUCCGGAACUGCAUUUGAUACUGCCAGUCUUGAGUGAGGUAGAGGGGGGUGGAAUUCCCGGUGUAGAGGUGAAAUUCGUAGAUAUCGGGAGGAACACCAGAGGCGAAGGCGACCCCCUGGGCCUUUACUGACGCUGAGGUGCGAAAGCGUGGGGGAGCAAACAG
rnacentral:rRNA from 1 species